rnacentral:rRNA from 1 species
ACUCGAGUCUUUGACGCAAGUUGCGCCCAAAGCCAUUAGGUUGAGGGCACGCCUGCCUGGGUGUCACACAACGCCACCCCCACACUUAAAGUGUGCAAUGGGGUGAAAGUUGACCUCCCGCGAGCUAGUUCCUUGUGGUUGGUUGAAAAGUAAGUUCACGGUGGAGUUCCCCGCGAUAAAUGGUGGAUGAGCUACGCUCGAGACCAAUCGUGCCUGUGUGACUCCAGCGUAUCGGACUUGUUGGCCCUAUGCGUCCUUUGUGCAAACGGAGGGCGCCACUAGCGAGACCUCAGGUCAGGCGGGGCUACCCGCUGAGUUUAAGCAUAUCAAUAAGCGGAGGAAAAGAAACUAACAAGGAUUCCCCUAGUAACGGCGAGCGAACCGGGAAGAGCCCACCAUGAGAAUCGGUCGCCUUCGGCGUUCGAAUUGUAGUCUG